GUAAGCGCGCGUAGGUGGUUCGUUAAGUUGGAUGUGAAAUCCCGGGCUCAACCUGGGAACUGCAUCCAAAACUGGCGAGCUAGAGUAUGGUAGAGGGUGGUGGAAUUUCCUGUGUAGCGGUGAAAUGCGUAGAUAUAGGAAGGAACACCAGUGGCGAAGGCGACCACCUGGACUGAUACUGACACUGAGGUGCGAAAGCGUGGGGAGCAAACAGGAUUAGAUACCCUUGU
rnacentral:rRNA from 1 species